rnacentral:rRNA from 1 species
UACGAAGGGUGCAAACGUUGCUCGGAAUUAUUGGGCGUAAAGCGCACGUAGGCGGCAUUGCAAGUCGGAUGUGAAAUCUUAUGGCUUAACCAUAAAAGUGCAUCCGAAACUGCAGUGCUUGAGUACUUAAGAGGAUCGCGGAAUUCCCGGUGUAGAGGUGAAAUUCGUAGAUAUCGGGAGGAACACCAGUGGCGAAGGCGGCGACCUGGGAAGAUACUGACGCUGAGGUGCGAAAGCGUGGGGAGCAAACAGG